rnacentral:lncRNA from 1 species
CACAAUUUAAAUCUAGGUUGUAGCAUUCUCAAUUUCUAACAUGGAAGCUUCCAUCAAGGGUUCUUAACCUUUUUUUGUACCUUGGGCUCCUUCUGGAGCUGCCUGGCAAAACCUGAGAGUUCCUUCUUAGAAACAAGUUUUAAAACAUAUUACAUAGGAUUACAAGAAAAUGAGUUAUUAGUUUUAAAAAACUUAUGGCUUAAUAUUUGGGCUGCUUUAUUAACUUUUUACAUAGCUGAAUUGAGUGGUGGGUCAAGUUCCAUAAUUUUGAAGUUGUAAUAAGCAUAAAUAUUUAUAAAAUCCGUAGGAACUAAAAUGUGAUAAGGCAUCUGAUUCUUCUCGUUGACAAAGUCAUGGUUAUUACCUGUGUUCAUGCUUAAGAUAAAUGCUAAAUUUCAGUGAGAGGUUAGUGAAGAGAAAGAUAAAAAUGUUGUCCCCUCUAAGUUUUUGGAUGUACAGAAUUCUGUCCAUACCCCAGGUUAAGAACCUUUAACCUUUAUGCUUCUACUGUUUGAUUGGAUUUGGGUGGUGAGGAAAGUAGUUGAGUCCCUUCUCCCCUCUGUCAGAACCUCAAAUUAACUCUGGCAGGUCAGUUCUCCUCAGCCAGAACCAUUUAAAAUCUCAAUUACCUGGUGCAGUCAUUCCACUGAUUUCUGUUUUACUCAUUAUUUCAAAAAUGAGAAAUAGAACAUGAGCAAGAAAUAUCCCAGUGCUUUUGGAAAGCUGUUUGAGUACUCUUGGAUGUGAUUUCCCUGGGAAAUCAGAUGAUUAAUGUGACUAGACAGGUAUACUUAUCUCUUGUAUCUGGGGGUCCCGGGGAUGCUCAGGCUGGCUCAUUAAUGUAGACAGUUUUCCUGUGCAACAACCAACCAUGUGAUCAUUUCAGUAAGCAAUUCCUUCAUGAUGAAGCAUUAGGGAAUAGGCUCUUCUCUGCAACUUUGUAACAGAAUAAAUGAAUCAGGGUCCCUCCUGUGUAAAGAGGCAGGUUGAACAAUCCUGUUUUGAAAGCAGACCUCCAGUAUCCAAGAGAGGGAGGUUUGGGUGGUCUCUUCACCCUAUUUCCCCAAAGAUGGAAUAUCCACCAUAGUAAAGACAUGCAAGGGGCAGGUCUCUGCAGACAUUGACUUUGACCCUAGAGUUAACCUUAUUAGAGAUCAUUUCUAGUUCUACCUAUUAGGAAAUCCUUGUGUCUUGACUUUGUUCUAAAAUCAUUUUAUAUCUUGGUUAAUGAUGGUGGUAACUUACAUUCAUGCCAAGUGAUGCUGACUAAACAUACAACUCUGUAUAUAUUUCAUAUCAUUUACUUUCUAGAUAUUCUCCCUUGCCCUGCUCUCUGUUUUUGUCUGGGUUUAAUUUGCUACCUGAACUUUUCCUCCAUCUAUCCUCUCAAUGCUAAGAGGAGCUGUCAACAUAUCUCCUGCAUUGGCUGUACCUUUCACACUCAGUGUUUCGAUUUUUCUCCAGUCUUAUUAUAUAAUCUUCACCCCAUAUCUCUUUAUGUCUGUUGAAGUGUUUCAUGCCUGCAGAGAUGGUGCAUCUUGGUAGAAAGGAAGAGACAUUUGGAUUUUGGUUCAGAGGUGAAAUGAUUGGAUUGUGAGAGCUGUAACCUCAUUAGUAGAUCAAUCCAUUUGAUGGAUUAAUAAUUUGAAUGGACUGCUGGGUGGUAACUGUAGGCAGGUGGGGCAUGACUAGAGGAAGAAGGUUAUUUGGGGUAUGCCUUUGGGGGUUAUGUUUUGUCCCUGGCUACCCAGGCUUGUGUUCUGCUUCCUGGCUUCCAUGAAUUGAGAAGCUUUCCUCUGUCAUACCUUUCUUCAUGAUAUUCUGCCCCAUCUUGGUCCCAGAGCAAUGGAGUUAGCCAACAAUGGACUGAACCUCUGAAACAGCCCCAAAUAAGCAUUUCCUCCUCUAAGUUGUUGUUGUCAGGUAUUUUGGUCAUAAUGAUAAGAAACUGAAUAACACACCAGGUGACCAGAAUCAACAUAUCCAAGGGACAAGUGGAUAUCCUGUGCCUCCAAAUGUGAUAGUUUGAGAAGGAUCUGUCACCUCUUAUGCAGUGUUUAGCUAAGAAUCCAUUACCUGAACCCAGCUAUGAGGAAACUUUAGACAUCAGAUGAGAAACAGUCUAUUAAGAAAAAGUCCCAGUGCGCUCUUCAAAGAUAUGUGUGUUGCUGGGGAUUAAACCAAAAAGAAUGUGAAAAAUUCUCAGAUUAAAGGAGACUAAAGAGGCAUGACAAGUGUCACACCUGAUCCUAAACUAAGUCCUAUAUUGGAGGGGAGAAUGCUGUAAAGGACACUUUCAUGAGACUAUUGUCAACUGGCAAAUUAGAAUACAGACAGUAGUCUCAAUUUAAUACAGGUUUUUUGGGUCUGGGGUUGUGGCUCAGUGGUAAAGCGCUUACCUAGCACGUGUGAGGCACUGGGUUUUAUUCUUAGCACCACAUAUAAAUAAUAU